AAUAAGUAUGCUCGUCUGUGUUCGUUCCACCGUGUCUUCCAGUUCGAGCCAUGCCGUCUAACUUUCUUUCACGCCUUGUAACUUCAGCUGGUCUGAAGGUAAAAGUGCAAAGCCGUAACAACUCACUGGGUAUCCGUAACUACGGUGCCUGCUCAGG
rnacentral:lncRNA from 1 species